UGAGGCAAGAACACUGCUUUCAGGCU
rnacentral:misc_RNA from 1 species